rnacentral:rRNA from 1 species
CGCCAUGGCGGGGUGCUAUACAUGCAAGUAGAACGCUGAAGAGAGGAGCUUGCUCUUCUUGGAUGAGUUGCGAACGGGUGAGUAACGCGUAGGUAACCUGCCUUGUAGCGGGGGAUAACUAUUGGAAACGAUAGCUAAUACCGCAUAACAAUGGAUGACACAUGUCAUUUAUUUGAAAGGGGCAAUUGCUCCACUACAAGAUGGACCUGCGUUGUAUUAGCUAGUAGGUGAGGUAACGGCUCACCUAGGCGACGAUACAUAGCCGACCUGAGAGGGUGAUCGGCCACACUGGGACUGAGACACGGCCCAGACUCCUACGGGAGGCAGCAGUAGGGAAUCUUCGGCAAUGGGGGCAACCCUGACCGAGCAACGCCGCGUGAGUGAAGAAGGUUUUCGGAUCGUAAAGCUCUGUUGUAAGUCAAGAACGAGUGUGAGAGUGGAAAGUUCACACUGUGACGGUAGCUUACCAGAAAGGGACGGCUAACUACGUGCCAGCAGCCGCGGUAAUACGUAGGUCCCGAGCGUUGUCCGGAUUUAUUGGGCGUAAAGCGAGCGCAGGCGGUUUGAUAAGUCUGAAGUUAAAGGCUGUGGCUCAACCAUAGUUCGCUUUGGAAACUGUCAAACUUGAGUGCAGAAGGGGAGAGUGGAAUUCCAUGUGUAGCGGUGAAAUGCGUAGAUAUAUGGAGGAACACCGGUGGCGAAAGCGGCUCUCUGGUCUGUAACUGACGCUGAGGCUCGAAAGCGUGGGGAGCGAACAGGAUUAGAUACCCUGGUAGUCCACGCCGUAAACGAUGAGUGCUAGGUGUUGGAUCCUUUCCGGGAUUCAGUGCCGCAGCUAACGCAUUAAGCACUCCGCCUGGGGAGUACGACCGCAAGGUUGAAACUCAAAGGAAUUGACGGGGGCCCGCACAAGCGGUGGAGCAUGUGGUUUAAUUCGAAGCAACGCGAAGAACCUUACCAGGUCUUGACAUCCCGAUGCUAUUUCUAGAGAUAGAAAGUUACUUCGGUACAUCGGUGACAGGUGGUUGCAUGGUUGUCGUCAGCUCGUGUCGUGAGAUUGUUGGGUUAAGUCCCGCAACGAGCGCAACCCCUAUUGUUAGUUGCCAUCAUUCAGUUGGCACUCUAGCGAGACUGCCGGUAAUAAACCCGAAGAAAGGUGGGGAAUGAACGUUCAAAUCAUUCAUGCCCCCUUUAUUGAACCCUUGGG